UACAGAGGGUGCAAGCGUUGUUCGGAAUUACUGGGCGUAAAGGCUCGUAGGCGGCCAACUAAGUCAUACGUGAAAUCCCUCGGCUUAACCGGGGAACUGCGUCUGAUACUGGAUGGCUUGAGGUUGGGAGAGGGAUGCGGAAUUCCAGGUGUAGCGGUGAAAUGCGUAGAUAUCUGGAGGAACACCGGUGGCGAAGGCGGCAUCCUGGACCAAUUCUGACACUGAGGAGCGAAAGCCAGGGGAGCAAACGGG
rnacentral:rRNA from 1 species